rnacentral:lncRNA from 1 species
GUAUUCUGCACGGACUGCUGGGCAGCACUAGCACUCUGGAGAAGGUCUGCCGCUGUCUGCACUUUCCUGGUUCUAUGCAGGCAGAUGAGUGUCACAGCUGUAACUGAGGCACAGAGCAGUACACACAGUGGAGCCGAUUUCCGCGAUGGCGAGAGGGGGCACCGGAGGUGACAACAAUAACAAGACUGUCCUUCGGACAAGUUUUAGAUUCUCAGGAUGAUGGAGUGAGUGAUGGAAUAGGUUGCCAACUGUAGUUACUCCACUCAGCACAGAAUGGCUGCGGGGAAAUAUAAUCAGACAUGCCCAAAGAAGUCUGCUUAGGGUGAAACAAAUACCUUUGAGGUUUAAAUCAGGAAGGAGAGACUGUUUCUACAGGUGUCAUACAAAAAUCAAUACUGAGCCAAGGAUUAUUGGAUCCCAUAGAACCACGGAGACUUGGUAGUGAAAUUCUUCCAAAGCAUUCCAUCCGUGCAGGCAGAUGGUGUUCCUAGGUUUGGAAAUAUAAAUCCCAUGGGAAGUCAGCUGAAGACCAUUUUAUGCAUCACUCAUCCUGUUAGAGCCCUGUGCUGUUCUGUCUCUCUAUAAGACUGGCUGAAACCACCACGGUUGUUUACAAUUUAUGCUCUAACUUUGGAUCACCUAGUUAAUACUCUAACUCCGAUUAUUACCAAAGACAAUGUUCUAUAAAAGAUAUUGUCUAUUAGAAGGAUGCUUCUGCAUUAUUAAUAAAAUCACAGGGAAAAUGCAACAUUUUGGAUGUCACAUCUGAUAAGUGGGUGACUGAUCGUACCCGCCAGCUGGCUAAUGUCAUAAUUAACAAAGUUGCUACUACAUCUGCAAAGUUUAAUCGAAAAAUUUGCCAGUGAUAUGAUGGCCUUGUCACAGAGAUCACAAGGGACACGGAGUUGACUUUUGCUCAAGGUGGAACGACAGAGCUGUGUAGGCAAGAUGAGAAAUUGCGAACUUGUUCGGCCAAAG